rnacentral:rRNA from 1 species
AUUAAUAAGCGGAGGAAAAGAAACUAACAAGGAUUCCCUCAGUAACGGCGAGUGAAGCGGGAAGAGCUCAAAUUUGAAAUCUCCGGUGCUUGCAUCGGCGAGUUGUAGUUGCGAGAAGCACUUUCUAGGUGGAUCGGCGGUGCCUAAGUUGCUUGGAACAGCACGUCGCAGAGGGUGACAACCCCGUCUGUGGCGCCGCCGGCCGCUGACGAUGUGCUUUCGAAGAGUCGGGUUGUUUGGGAAUGCAGCCCAAAAUGGGUGGUAAACUCCAUCUAAAGCUAAAUACUGGCGUGAGACCGAUAGCGAACAAGUACCGUGAGGGAAAGAUGAAAAGAACUUUGAAAAGAGAGUUAAAAAGUACGUGAAACCGUCGGAAGGGAAACGAAUGGACUCAGCAAUGCGCCCUCUGAGAUUCAGCCGCGUGGGUGGCGUCGGCGCGGGGUUUGCGGAUCUGAAUGGACCGCGGCCCGGCGCUCGCUGCUCCCCGCCGUCGCACUUCUCUGGGGCGCGCGUCAACGUGGGUUGGGACUGGGUCUGAAAGGUGCCGGGAAGGUAGGUGUGGGCCUUCGGGUCCGUUCUGUUACAGCCCGGUUCUCUCAUGGCUCGGGCCCGACCGAGGAGCAGACAGGGCAUGCCUCCUGUGGCUAGGGUCCCGUCCUUCCGGCCGGCUGUCCAGUGUGGUGGACUGCUUGCAGUGCUCUGCGACGGCUGCCGGUCGUUGGGGUGGUGAUCUCGUACCAUGCCCUUGGGAUGUUGGCGGUCAU